rnacentral:rRNA from 1 species
AUGAGAGUCCCCAGCCUUGCACUGGCGAUCCUUGUCCUCGUCGCCCUCUCGGCCGCCACCGGUCGGCCGGGGGUCCUCGCGGCCAGGAGCCCGGGGGUCCUUCUCGCCUCAACGAGCAGGCGCGGUGCCGAGCAACCGCGGAGACUCGUCGAGGCUGGCGGCAAUGGCGCCCCCGUCGCCAGCUUCGAUGCCUCCGGGAAGCCCGUGGCGGCGGCCGGCCCUUCUCCGCCUCCGACGAUGUUCGACGCGGACCGGAUGAGCAAGCGGCGAGUCCGGAGAGGCUCCGAUCCCAUACACAACAAAUGCUGA